UUUUAUGAGAGUUUGAUCCUGGCUCAGGACGAACGCUGGCGGCGUGCCUAAUACAUGCAAGUCGAACGCUUCUUUUUCCACCGGAGCUUGCUCCACCGGAAAAAGAGGAGUGGCGAACGGGUGAGUAACACGUGGGUAACCUGCCCAUCAGAAGGGGAUAACACUUGGAAACAGGUGCUAAUACCGUAUAACAAUCGAAACCGCAUGGUUUUGAUUUGAAAGGCGCUUUCGGGUGUCGCUGAUGGAU
rnacentral:rRNA from 1 species